AUUGAACGCUGGCGGCAGGCCUAACACAUGCAAGUCGAACGAGUGGCGGACGGGUGAGUAAUGUCUGGGAAACUGCCUGAUGGAGGGGGAUAACUACUGGAAACGGUAGCUAAUACCGCAUACCAUCAGAUGUGCCCAGAUGGGAUUAGCUAGUUGGUGGGGUAACGGCUCACCAAGGCGACGAUCCCUAGCUGGUCUGAGAGGACGACCAGCCACACUGGGACUGAGACACGGUCAAGACUCCUACGGGAGGCAGCAGUGGGGAAUGUUGCACAAUGGGCGCAACCCUGAUUCAGCCAUGCCGCGUGUAUGAAGAAGGCCUUCGGGUUGUAAAGUACUUUCGGCGGGGAGGCGUUAUCUGCAGAAGAAGCACCGGCUAACUCCGUGCCAGCAGCCGCGGUAAUAC
rnacentral:rRNA from 1 species